rnacentral:lncRNA from 1 species
GCUCAUUCUUAACAAAUUUAGGCAAUAAUCUACGACUCAUAACUUCAAAAAACUACGGUGACUCAUCCUUUUUAUUAAAUUUUUGAAAAGAGAAUAGUAAAAUCCUCAUCUUGGCAAAGUAUAAGAAAAUGAAAUCUCGGGGAACAUAUACCGAUGAUAUACCUUACGCCAUUUCAAUUGCUAUUUUAUAGUGUGUCUUUCUAUGAUUUGAUGUAAAACUAUUGUUUAAGAUGAGGGUUAAUGUUGGUACCUAUUUAAAUGUUAAAACCAGUUGAAUUUGUUUGGACCACUUCUUAGUCAAGAACCUGAUGUUCAGUGGUUAUCGUGUAUUGGUGUGGAUCAUACGUUUUCUGGUUUCUUGUUUUUUCUUAAUUUAGAUAAGACCGUUUGUUUUUCACGUUCGAAUGGUUUAACUCUGGUCAUUUUUUGGUUACACAUGAAAUUAUUAUCGAGAGCAUGCAUUUUAAAAUGAUUAUUUGUUAUUUUUUUGUAACUUGGAUAUAAGUUUGAGUAGCUUAUGAAUUAAAUAUGAGAAAUUGAGUCAAAUCAGUGAAUAGGAAUUUGACAGAUUAUGC